rnacentral:rRNA from 1 species
AUGGUGAACACACCGGUGUUGGCCCUUCCCGAUUUCAAUCGCCCGUUCUGGAUCGAAACCGAUGCGUGUGACACGGGCAUAGGAGCAGUCUUAGUACAAGAUGGUCACCCAGUUGCUUAUCUUAGCAAAGCCCUGGGUGUUCGCAAUCAACGUCUGUCCAUCUACGAGAAAGAAUUUCUCGCUGUGAUGAUGGCCGUGGAGAAGUGGCGUCCAUAUCUCCAGCUCGCCCCAUUCGUCAUUGUCACUGAUCACAAAAGCUUGUAUCACCUCGGUGAUCAGCAGCUUGAAACAGAGCUCCAACACAAGGCGAUGUCUAAAAUGGUGGGGCUUCAGUUUUCAUUCAAAUAUAGGCGCGGCCCGGACAAUGGCGCGGCGGAUGCGCUAUCCCGAGUCGGUCACCUGCUCUCAGUAGAUGCUUUGACAGUUUGCCAACCACAGUGGCUUCAAGAAGUUGCAAAUUCCUACGAAACUGACAUGGACAGUCAAGAUUUGCUCCAACGUUUGGCAUUGAACAGUCCAGAUGAUCAGGGGUAUGAACUGUGA